rnacentral:rRNA from 1 species
UACGUAGGGGGCAAGCGUUGUCCGGAAUCAUUGGGCGUAAAGAGCGCGUAGGCGGCCCGAUAAGUCCGCUGUGAAAGUCAAGGGCUCAACCCUUGAAUGCCGGUGGAUACUGUCGGGCUAGAGUCCGGAAGAGGCGAGUGGAAUUCCUGGUGUAGCGGUGAAAUGCGCAGAUAUCAGGAAGAACACCGAUGGCGAAGGCAGCUCACUGGGACGGUACUGACGCUGAGGCGCGAAAGCGUGGGGAGCAAACAGG